UCUUAUUUCCUCCCAACUAUGCACCUCUGUUAUAUGGGUUUUCUAUUUUUUAUUUUAGCACUAAUUUUGCAUUACCUUAGUCGAAAAUCUUCCUCUCCCAAAAUCUCCCAACAAACCCUACUUUCCGCAAUUUUCCUCUCUUCGUCGGCUUUAGCUAUCAAUUCUUAAAAUUAUAUUUACUGCUACAUAAGUCUCUCUCAUGCUAAAGACCCUAAAAUAGUACCACAGUUUGACGGAGAAAUUGAGUGAAGAACGACUCUUAGAUCUCUAGAUCUGCAUCGCCGUCCCUUGAUGGAAGAUAGUGGAGAUUUCAAGAGGAAGGUACAAGAAAUAACCUCAAGAUUCAAAAACGGAGUGACUGAUAUCAAGAAGGCAAAUAUUUCAUAAUAAUCUCUACUCUGUAUGUGUGGUGUGGUGUUUCAUAGAAGGUAGGAAAAAUACUUUCGCACAUGAGAAGUAGAGCUUAAAUCUGGAGAUAUUAGAGGUGGUAUUUCCUCUAAUAAUGUCAACACUCUAGAUGAGAUAUAUCAUGUAUGUGAAAAGCUGAAGCUGCCUAAGCCAUGGUUUCGACCUGGCUGCUUAGUGUCAUUUGAGAAAAAGCUAAGGGUAUUUCAGACUUUCACUGAACUUAAUGCAACGUGGCUCAAAACCUCAAACGGAAUAUCCACGUAUCAUCGGGUCACUUUGGUUCUUUGUAUAUUCUUCGGGAAUUUUUUAAGUUUUAUGUGAUGAUCCGAAAGUUCAUCACUUGUUUUAGAAAUAAAUUCUGUGUUUC